GGAUUGUAAACUCCUGUUGUUGGGGAAGAUAAUGACGGUACCCAACAAGGAAGUGACGGCUAACUACGUGCCAGCAGCCGCGGUAAAACGUAGGUCACAAGCGUUGUCCGGAAUUACUGGGUGUAAAGGGAGCGCAGGCGGGAAGACAAGUUGGAAGUGAAAUCUAUGGGCUCAACCCAUAAACUGCUUUCAAAACUGUUUUUCUUGAGUAGUGCAGAGGUAGGCGGAAUUCCUGGUGUAGCGGUGGAAUGCGUAGAUAUCGGGAGGAACACCAGUGGCGAGGGCGGCCUACUGGGCACCAACUGACGCUGAGGCUCGAAAGUGUGGGUAGCAAACAGGAUUAGAUACCCUGGUAGUCCACACCGUAAACGAUGAUUACUAGGUGUUGGAGGAUUGACCCCUUCAGUGCCGCAGUUAACACCAUAAGUCAUCCACCUGGGGAGUA
rnacentral:rRNA from 1 species